rnacentral:lncRNA from 1 species
AAAAAUAGCAUGCGAGAUUAAAAUCCUGGAAACCGAUGCACAAGCGCGCGCGAAAAGCCUCACGGGCACUUACAUGUCUCGCAGGCAUUUACAUGUUUUGCAGGGCAUUUUUCUCUACCCGCGCCAUGCUUGCAUGUACGCGAACAGGCUCUGGUCGCCUCCCAUUGGCCAAGUAUUGUUUGAUGUAGACCACCAUCAACCUCUGUAACACCCUUCUACCACUUGGCACGUAUCGGCUGAACCUCUAAAUGCAUGGUUGGCCACUUAACCGAUCAACUAUUGUCCUCUCGUGUAUGUGAUCCAAUAGAUCACCAUGCCCUUGCCUCAAAUAUUUAAACGCCCUCUUCU